rnacentral:misc_RNA from 1 species
GAAAUGCGAUAAGUAAUGUGAAUUGCAGAAUUCAGUGAAUCAUCGAAUCUUUGAACGCAGAUUGCGCCCGCCAGUAGUCUGGCGGGCAUGCCUGUCCGAGCGUCAUUUCAACCAUCAAGCCCCCGGGCUUGUGUUGGGGACCUGCGGCUGCCCGCAGGCCCUGAAAACCAGUGGCGGGCUCGCUGUCACACCGAGCGUAGUAGCAAUCACCUCGCUCAGGGCGUGCUGCGGGUUCCGGCCGUUAAACAGCCUUACAAAACCCAAGGUUGACCUCGGAUCAGGUAGGAAGACCCGCUGAACUUAAGC